rnacentral:rRNA from 1 species
UACGGGAGGCAGCAGUAGGGAGUUUUCGGCAAUGGGCGAAACCCUGAUGCAGCAACGCCGCGUGAGCGAAGAAGGCCUUUGGGUCGUAAAGCUCUGUCCUGAAGGAAGAAGGAAGUGACGGUACUUCAGGAGGAAGCCCCGGCUAACUACGUGCCAGCAGCCGCGUAAU